rnacentral:lncRNA from 1 species
CAUCAAAAUCUGCGCACGAGGAGCGGAGAGAGGAGUGUAGGAGUCGUACCUGGGACGUGUCGGCCUUAGGCUCCGCCAUCGGGGCGACCUCUGGUUCCGUCAUGGGGGUGAGACCCGACUGUCGGUCGGGGGCCUGCUAGGCACAGCAGGGUCCCAACCCUUCCUCCGCUUCUCCUUCGGGCCCUUGGGCUCGGCCAGAUGCCGGUC